rnacentral:rRNA from 1 species
GACGAACCGUGCGAACGUUGUUCGGAAUCACUGGGCUUAAAGGGCGCGUAGGCGGGGCCGCAAGUCCGGGGUGAAAGUGAAAGUCGCCAAAAAGUGGCGGAAUGCUCUCGAAACCAAUUCACUUGAGUGAGACAGAGGAGAGUGGAAUUUCGUGUGUAGGGGUGAAAUCCGUAGAUCUACGAAGGAACGCCAAAAGCGAAGGCAGCUCUCUGGGUCCCUACCGACGCUGGGGUGCGAAAGCAUGGGGAGCGAACAGG